rnacentral:rRNA from 1 species
UACGUAGGGACCCAAGCGUUGUUCGGAUUUACUGGGCGUAAAGGGCGCGUAGGCGGCGUGGUAAGUCAUCUGUGAAAUCUCCGAGCUUAACUCGGAACGGUCAGAUGAUACUGCUGUGCUAGAGUACAGAAAGGGCAAUCGGAAUUCUUGGUGUAGCGGUGAAAUGCGUAGAUAUCAAGAGGAACACCUGAGGCGAAGGCGGGUUGCUAGGCUGAUACUGACGCUGAUGCGCGAAAGCUAGGGUAGCAAACGGGAUUAGAUACCCUAGUAGU